UAACCUGCCUUAUAGUGGGGGAGUAGCCUUUCGAAAGGAAGAUUAAUACCGCNUAAGAUUGUAGUAUCGCAUGAUAUAGCAAUUAAAGGAGCAAUUCGCUAUAAGAUGGACCCGCGUCGCAUUAGCUAGUUGGUGAGGUAAUGGCUCACCAAGGCGACGAUGCGUAGCCGACCUGAGAGGGUGAUCGGCCACAUUGGGACUGAGACACGGCCCAGACUCCUACGGGAGGCAGCAUG
rnacentral:rRNA from 1 species